rnacentral:pre_miRNA from 21 species
UUCGCAGUAUAUCCCUGUGAGUUUGCUACUUUUCAAUGGUCAAAUCACAGGAGUAUACUGUGAG